rnacentral:sRNA from 2 species
GAUAACGAUGGGGUGGCGGACGACAUUGCGAUGGAUGAUAUUAGUGAGGAGGGCUAGGUAAGGAGAUGAUGUGUCAAGAAAGCCUUUCGCCUUAGUGAUUCUCUGCGAUGCGAGACUCCUCUGUGUUUUGAAGGAGGUUGAAAAGGGGGUAAGAUAUAUUGAGGGGACCAUUGGACUUGACAACGGUAAUUUAUUUAUCUGCGCUUUUGUGUAUAAUCUCUAUAUCCGCCAUUGAAUUUGCUAGUUUAAAGUUUGUAAGGGUUCUAGAAAUCUAUCCCCGGAUGUCCUGAGCGAGUCUGGGUCCUUGUAAACUCCAAAACGGAGGUUUCAGCACCUGAUAUAACCCGAGGGGAAUAGGAACAUAUCUUCCUCAAUCAUGCUUGUUGGAAUUUCAUACUCGUAGAUGCCUUCGGAACAGUAUUCCCCAAAUUCACAUAAUUAAUAUCUAUCCGCGGAUUCAAUUAGCUUUUAUCUACCAAAAUAUAUAUACACACACUUAUAUAUAUAUAUAUACAGAAAAUAUUUACAAUAACAGAUCUAAACACAUACACCUACCCUCCUCACCUCAAACCCACCAGGCCACCUAGCUGGAUAUAGCGAUCUCUAGAGCAACGUCCACAUCUCCGCUGGGGCCUACAAUAUUAUCAUUUACUUCCCCAUACAGUUGGCAUAGUAGGUAACCGUAGCAGGCCAAUCUGAAAACAUGCCCUUUACGCCAACCCGCUUUGCCAACGCAUCCACGACGUCAUAGACAUCCCCAUCGCCAUCCACCGCGCCGGCCACAGUCUGGUAAUAAUACUCCUUGUCAGCCGCCACAUUUUUCAGCGGACCCGAUCUCUCCAAUGACCACGUAACCAGAUCGAGACCGGCCUUCUUCGCCGCCUUAGCGUAUGUAGAUGGUACGAUGCGUGGUUUCUUGUUAUUUCCGUUGCCGUUGCCGUUACCAUUUCCGGGUGGUUUGUGCUUAUCGUCACCAUCAUCCUCCAGGUCCAAAAGCGCAAAGAUGGGCGGGCCCAUAAUCCUCACUCCCCGCUUCGCCAGAUCCCUCAUGCCUCUGACAGCCUCUUCGUAUCCCUCGGGGGUAUCGACACGCUCGUCCAGAUAGAUAGCCUGACGCGCAAAGGCAGGCUCCUUGUCGAUCCAGUAAAAGAUGUCAGCGGGUAGGAAGGACUGGAGGAAUACGCGGGACGGCUGAAUGCGGGCGGCGCGGAACUCGUCAACGAGUUGCUGCGCGUACAUCUCCUGGGUGUAGUUCUUGCCGCCAGGGGACGGGAAGGGCAUGGGGACCUCGGGCGUCUUGAGCUCCGAGGUGAACUUGAGACCGAGCGAGUUGAUCAGGGAGAUGAAUUCGGCAUGCGAGUGCAGUUGGGGGCAGUCAUCGUUGUACAGGCUCGUGCGCCAGUCCAUGACGCCACUCUGGUAUUGCUCCGGGGUCAUGGCGGUGGGAUCUGAGGAGUCCAUUUUGCCGCAGAGGGACUUGAAUUCGGCAAGGGUAAUGUCGCUUGUGCAGCAUUUGGCGGAGGCUUUAGUUUUGCCGUCCGCGGAGGCCGGGGUGAAGGGUUUCGUGCACUUCGCGGCCAGUUCGGGGACAGUGAGGAUGUUUGUGGUGGUGUGUAGGUCGCACUGGGAAUGGCGACAGACGAGCUGGAGGUCCUUGGUGAAGGCCACAUCGCACUCGAUGAUGCCAGCACCCUCACGCGCGGCGGCUAACCAAGACUCCUUGGUGUGUUCUGGGAACUGCAGUGGGGCGCCGCGGUGGCUGAUGGAGA